AACCUACUUCCCUGAUGAAUGGUGAAUAAAUCUAAUCCAUUGUGUUUCUCUGGCUCCAGUUCAGUGAGUUUCAUGUGUUUUAUUCAGUGAUGUUCCUUUAAACAGGUGAUCACUUCUUUACUUUGACUCCUCCUCUUCUCUGUUUCCUGGUUCAGUUACUUUCACUUUCUCCAGGGACGUGUUGCAGAUGUUUUUCUCGUCUGAAGGUAAUGAAGCAGUUUGUGGUGUUUUCUUCUUCGGCCUCAGAAGAGGAAGGGUAAAUCAUUAGACCAUCAGGUGACCUCGGUGUUCGUUUCAUCUCGUUCUCACCUCGGUCAUCCUCCUACUUUUUACUUCAUAAAAUAAACAGGGGAAAGAAGAAAGAGUGAAUUCAUCAGCAUGGACCAGAGAGAGGGACCUGGACCUGGACCUGGACCUGGACCUGAACCUGGAUCUGGAUCUGGACCUGAACCUGGACCUGGACCUGGAUCUGGACCCAGUUGUGUGUCCUUGAAGAGCGACCGGUCAAAGGACUUUCCUAUUCAUUUUAAAGGAGGACGUGGUUCUGGUCCAGAGAGGUAAAGAGUGAGUGAAGCUGUCCUCCAUGAGGAGCUGAUGGUUCUACUUUCAUGUCUCUUCCUCUUUGGGUUAAAGCUGGUUCAUCACUCUUACAUCACUGACUUUAUUCAACAUGUUUGUUUCAUCCUUUUACUUCUUACGUCUCUGCGUUGAACUUAUUCUCAUCAGUUUUUAUCCAACAUGAACAUUUAUCUGUGGUGGUUUACUUUCAGGAGACCAGACUCUCCUGGAGCUGGACCUGGAUCUGGACCUGGAUCUGGACCCAGUUGUGUGUCCUUGAAGAGCGACCGGUCAAAGGACAUUCCUAUUCAUUUUAAAGGAGGACAUGGUUCUGGUCCAAAGAGAGUCCACCAGCAGAGCUCAGAGGUUCUCAGUGGUCAGUCUACCCAGCAGCAUCAGACACAG